GAUGAACGCUGGCGGCGUGCCUAACACAUGCAAGUCGAACGGAGUUAUGAAGCUUUCGGACGGAUUAACUUAGUGGCGGACGGGUGAGUAACGCGUGGGUAACCUGCCUCAUACAGGGGGAUAACAGUUGGAAACGACUGCUAAAACCGCAUAACAUUGCGAUGCCGCAUGGCGAUGCAAUUCAAUAUUUAUAGGUAUGAGAUGGGCCCGCGUCUGAUUAGCUAGUUGGUGAGGUAAUGGCUCACCAAGGCGACGAUCAGUAGCCGGCUUGAGAGAGUGACCGGCCACAUUGGGACUGAGACACGGCCCAAACUCCUACGGGAGGCAGCAGUGGGGAAUAUUGCACAAUGGGCGAAAGCCUGAUGCAGCGACGCCGCGUGAGUGAAGAAGUAUUUCGGUAUGUAAAGCUCUAUCAGCAGGGAAGAUAAUGACGGUACCUGACUAAGAAGCCCCGGCUAACUACGUGCCAGCCGCCGCGGUAA
rnacentral:rRNA from 1 species